AGGAGAGUUUGAUCCUGGCUCAGAACGAACGCUGGUGGCGUGUCUUAUACAUGCAAGUCGAGCGGUGCAGCAAUGCAUAGCGGCGAACGGGUGAGUAACGCGUAAGCAAUCUGCCCCCUGCUCGGGAAUAGCCGUGCCAACGCGCGGGUAAUACCGGAUAUUGUGGCGUCCCCCAUGGGACGUUGACAAAAGAUUUAUCGGCAGGGGAUGAGCUUGCGUCCGAUUAGCUAGUUGGCGGGGCAACGGCCCACCAAGGCGACGAUCGGUAGCCGGCCUGAGAGGGUGAUCGGCCACAUUGGGACUGAGAUACGGCCCAGACUCCUACGGGAGGCAGCAGUAGGGAAUAUUGCACAAUGGGGGAAACCCUGAUGCAGCAACGCCACGUGUGGGAAGAAGCAUUUCGGUGUGUAAACCACUGUCGUGAGGGAAUAAGGCUAUUUUUCGGAAUAGUUGAAUGUACCUCGAGAGGAAGCACCGGCAAACUUCGUGCCAGCAGCCGCGGUAAUACGAGGGGUGCAAGCGUUGUUCGGAAUCACUGGGCGUAAAGGGAGCGCAGGCGGAAGCUCAAGCGGAUUGUACAAUACCGGGGCCCAACCCCGGACCUGCAGUCCGAACUGGGUUUCUUGGAUAGUUCAGGGGCAAGCGGAAUUCCUGGUGUAGCGGUGGAAUGCGUAGAGAUCAGGAAGAACACCGAUGGCGAAGGCAGCUUGCUGGGGACUUAUCGACGCUCAUGCUCGAAAGUGCGGGUAGCAAACAGGAUUAGAUACCCUGGUAGUCCCCU
rnacentral:rRNA from 1 species